rnacentral:rRNA from 1 species
UACGUAGGCAGCAAGCGUUGUUCGGAGUUACUGGGCGUAAAGGGUGUGUAGGCGGUUCUUUAAGUUUGGGGUGAAAUCUCCCGGCUCAACUGGGAGGGUGCGCCGAAUACUGAGGGACUAGAGUACGGGAGAGGAAAGUGGAAUUCCUGGUGUAGCGGUGAAAUGCGCAGAUAUCAGGAGGAACACCGGCGGCGAAGGCGGGUCUCUGGGCCAUAACUGACGCUGAGGAGCGAAAGCGUGGGGAGCGAACAGG